ACUUGCCCCGGGGACCCACACAUCAUGCGAACAACUUGACAUAACGUCUGCAAAGUGUAGUGACUGGGUGUUUUGGAGAUGAACCUGGCAACCGAUUCGAGCACAGCGAUGGACUGGACGCCACACAAAGAGCCACGGAGUGAGUGGUUUGUCACCCCAACGUGAACAAGGUUUUAAAGACAUUCCAAAGCAACACAGACAAUAACAAGAGGGAUUAAAAGAAUUCCAGUGACUCUGUCAAUGAAUGAACUGAAUGUGAGGCGAUGUGGCAC